CCGUACAAUGUAAGGUUGUCCUUACAUUGUCUUUGAAAUAAGCAUAAUGUAAAUCACUCUGGAUAAAAACAUCUGCUAAAAUUUCUUCUGUAAAAUACCAAAGUCUACUCUUAACCCCCUCCUUGACUCUUUCUCUCUUCUAACUUUAGUGGAAGUCUCUCUCUGACAAGUGCAUAAAGGAAGAAAUCAGUCGUGUUAAUGAAGCGUAGGAAAAAACUGAAUGAAAAAGUUCCACACUUCCAUUUAGAACAUAGCUGCCAUUCCAGAGUUACAAAGUGAAGUGAACGUGAUGGUCAAGUAUUUCUCUACUCAAAAUGUGACCUCUGCAUUUGACUCAUCCCAGUUUGGCUCUUAACACCACUCGCUGGCUUCAACAAGAGGGUUGGUGCGCAGACACGAGCGCAGCAGCAGCCAGACGGACCUGUGUGAUCCCAGUAAUUGAUGCCUUGCUCUGGGGAUAUAUUUAAUCACUACUACAAGCCUCUCGGAGGAAGAAAUGGCCUUGUAAAAACUCGCUGACUAUAUCCCGAACCAACAUGCGGGAAUCAAAACUAUGAAAAGGGUGGAGGUACAUGCUACACCUCUUCCUACUACAAGCACAUGCAGCCACACACACACACACAACUCGUGAAUAUCAACACAUUGUUCGCAUACACACACACACACAGAGACAUAUUCAGGCCAAAAAAUCUGAUUCCAGCUGCCCUAAAGCGGCCAGUUUUAGAGGCCUGUAAUUAUUAGCGCUUUAGAUGUGGCUGGGUUGAGAAAAGCAGUAAAUGAAGAGAAGAGGGGGUGCCAGCCCUAAAGCUGUGAGAAAACUGAAAACAAAUGAUCAACCCCUCCUCUUCUCGCCUCUAUCCCCUUCCCUCACCCCCCACAUACUACAUGUGGAAACAUGUGGGGAUGAAAGCGCACAUUAUUACGUGUGUGUGUGUGAAUAUGAGCAAAAUCCGGAAGACUUCCAAUCACUAAAUCGAUUCCAUUAUGGUACGUCAUCAUAAUCCUUCC